CUUGCGUGUGAGAGAGAGGCUGCGCCCGGACACUCUUCUUCGUCCGCGGCAGGGCAGGGAGCGGCGGCAGGGCGGACGGCAAAUGCGGCGCAGCCACAGACCUUUAAUCGGCGGCGGUCCCGUCGCCGGCAGAGGAUGCGCUCGCCCAAGAAUGGCUGCCGUUUGUCCGGCUGCCUGCCACAGGGGCCGGAGUCGGGCACCAGACUGCCGGGUCGUGACCGAUGGAGUCGGCGGCGGAUGAUGCUGGAGAUGGACUAACGACACAAAAAUGGAGGGAGAUCCACUUCUGCUUGACUGACGAACAAGAGCGAGGAGACCUUCGAGAAGAAGAGAGAACAGAAAAAGGAGGGAUGAUCUUUUGAGUUUUCCCAGAUGCAAUGGAAGAUCAGCAGAUGGUGCCCCCGCCGGCCACCUGUUCGGAGCAGGCCGUUCAGGAGGCAGCCCGGGGGGGGGGGGAGGACGACAGCAUCCCGGCGGCAUCGGCGAACGCGAUCAAGGACAGGUCAGCCGGUCCCUCGGAUUUCCAACAGCAGGAGGCGCUGCUGAGCACACCCAGCUCUUGAACUUUAACCGACAGCAAGAGGAGCAGCUGAAGUAGAUCCGCUACAGCAGGAAGGUGGUGCAGCUCAGCACACAAAGUCACAGCCCCCUGCUACACUCCCACCUCCAGUACGGACCAGAACAAACAUGCAUACUGUGUGCUUCCUGUUGAAUCUGGCACAUUUCAAGCAUGACAUGUAAAAUUUGCAUGAACGUGUACAUACCUAAGAACACAGAUCUGAUCACAGAUGUAAUGGAACUCGUUUUUUUUUUCAUCACAAGGUAUGGUUGCUUUUGACCUAGAUUAAAGUUCUGUGAGAACCUCAA